GCGGAGGAAAAGAAACUAACCAGGAUUCCCCUAGUAACGGCGAGUGAAGAGGGAAAAGCCCAAAUUUGUAAUCUGACUCUUUCAGAGUCUGAGUUGUAAUUUUCAGAACUGUUUUCUGUGCUGGACCAUAUAUAAGUCUUCUGAAAAGUAGCGUCAUUGAGGGUGAUAAUCCCGUUCAUGAUAUGGACUACCAGUGCAAUAUGAUACAGUCUCUAAGAGUCGAGUUGUUUGGGAAUGCAGCUCAAAGUGGGUGGUAAAUUCCAUCUAAGGCUAAAUAUUGGUGAGAGACCGAUAGCAAACAAGUACCGUGAGGGAAAGAUGAAAAGAACUUUGGAAAGAGAGUUAACAGUACGUGAAAUUGUUAAAAGGGAAACAAUUGAAGUUAGACUUGUUAUUAUCAGUUCAGCUCUUUUUUAGGGUGUAUUCUGAUGAUUAACAGACCAAUGUCAAUUUCUAGUGUUGGAGAAGGGUCUUGAAAAUGUAGCAACCUAGGUUGUGUUAUAGCUCUUGACUUUGAUACAAUGCUGGGGAUUGAGGUAUGCAGUGAGCCAUUAAUAUGGUGGAAUGAAUUAUCAUUUUUCUCACUGAGGAUAUUGGUGUAAUAGCUUUAAAUGACCCGUCUUG
rnacentral:rRNA from 1 species